AAUGAUUUGAGACUGUUGAUUUCAGAGCUCCAUCAAGUUUCCAUGCUGCAGAGUAACAUCUGAUCAUUUGAUGUGGUUGUUUUAGGCAAAGGACAAAUAAAGAGGAAGAAAAAAAGAUUUUAUCUCAUCUACCCAUGUGAUGUGUGAAUUUCAACUUGCAAUGUUCUUUAUUCUUCAUGCUCUCAUACCUAAUUGUGUUCCUUUACUAUGAAGGAUCUUUACAAAAGCUUCUGAAAUUCAGGAUAUCCUGGACAAACAAUGGAAACCCCCCUUUAAUUUUCCGCUGAAGUCCCUAUACUUGUAUACAGUGACAUUGGAGAAUGGCCCAGCUUGACUGAGGAAGGCUUUCGAAGAGUCUUUUGUGUGGUGCAAGGACUGGCAUAAAGAGUGAGGAGGACAAACUGAAUUAUCCCAUGGAUUCGCAAUACAAAAGGUGGUAUUCUCAAGACAGUGGAGCAUCCAGAGACAUUAGACUCAUCCAUCUUGGAAGAUCCCAGCCUGCCCCCUUCGCUUUAGCUGCUUGUGGAUUGUGCCUCUGAAUCCAUUCUAGUAAUUUAUCUUACAUUAUUUACUUCUGCAUUUAAAAUAAUGCCAGCAGAGUUAGGAUUCUAAGUUAUUGUUCAUUCAGGGUUGAGAACCAUUGAUUUUGAGUGUUCAUAUUUAAAAAGGAGGAUGUAGUGGGGUUCAGUCAUAACUAUCAUAAUGGAAAAAGCUCAUCAGGUUGAACUAGGCUCAACCCUUUUAGGAAGAAUGAGAAAUGUCCCCCGUGGGAUACCAGUUCUAUGCUAAAAGGUAGAAAGCUUUCAGGAACUUGCCUGAAGACUUUUAAGAAAUUAGAACUUGAGUCUUCUGUCUCUAAAUCCUGCGUCCUUUCUACCAGGGUAUUUAAUAUGUGUAAUUGUGUAUGAUUUGCUCAAAUAUCACAGUCUUGGGAGAGGUUUUCUUUGACCAUUCAGUCGAAAAUCAUCUUUCUCUAGCAGAUUACCCUGUUUCAUAUUAUUUUUUCAUAACAAUAUGCUGUUUGAAAUCUUAGAAAGUAGUUCUGCAGGAGCUGGGGCCUUCACCAUAUUGUUCACUGCCUCAUCUCCAGCAUCUAAGGCAGUGAUUUGUAAACAGUUGUUGAAUGAAUGAAUGAAUGAAUGAAUGAUCAGUGAGAAUUUUAUAUUCUUACAAAUAUGUCAGUUUCAUCAUGUGCCCUGUGUCUUGGUGGAGGUGGAACAAGGACACUUUUAAUAGGAUAGGUGGUUUCUCAAAGCAGCAGCUGUAUUCGAGGCAGAAAAUCAAUUUCUUCCCUGGAUGACAUUUUCAAAAGAAGUGUAUCUGGUAGCAUGGAAUCUUCUCUCUGACAGGGCUUAUGUCAAAAUACUAGGAUGUCUAAAUGAGUGGCCCACAUUCUGGAGAGAGGAUAUGCCAUUCAAAGGUGCCCUGAACUGUGCAUGAAAUGUAGCCCUUAUUCUAACAAACUUCCUGG
ensembl:lncRNA